GGGGGAGUGAGUGGCUGUGUGGUACUCAGUUGCCAGCAGGCAUUAAACCUUAACUGGUAUAAAGAUGAAGAAUGAUGAUAUAAUAGCUCCAGUUGUCUUCUCUCCUAUAUAACCUAAUGAUUAUCACUAGUGUUGGGAAAUGAAUUUUCAGAAUUUAUGAUUCUCCAGGAAAAGAGGUAAGAGGGAAACAGGAAUUGGGGCAUGCAGAUAAUAACAGAAAUAACUUCAACAGAGAUAUUCUUUCUCACCUUGUGUCUGAUCUAAUUAUGACAUGAUUGUCCGCUGUUCUCUGGUAUUUUACUGUAUGGGCAAAUGAGCCCAUUUCUGAGAUUUUACAGAUCACAGAUGAGAAAACAUAGGUUAGCCUGAGCUUUCUUCUCAGUCUUGCUGUCUCCAAUGUUUCCUGCACCAGAUGCUCCCUUUAUUACCAAACUAUUCCUGCUGGGUGUUUGUUGAGGGGUGCUCACAUGCAAAGAGGCAGGGGUCUCUGUUCUCACCUACUUCUGCUUGACAGAUUCUUGAACAACAAACCGAAUGAGUUAUUGAGAAACAAGGUGACGUGCAAGCAAAGUGACCAGAAAAAGAGCAUUUUAUCUUCCUCUAAGUAUGACUUCAACAUUCUCGUUUUGGAAGUCUAAUUUAAAAAUAAUUCAGUGCUUCACUGCUUAAUUCUCUUGUGCUGUUGAUGUGGGAGACUUCAGAGUGACAACGAAAAUAAGCACCUGACAGAAGAAGAGCAGUGAAUGUCUCUUAAUCUUAAAGCUUUUUGAGAAACUGCAGCGGUAAUCAACAGUACUCAUCAGUAAUUUCCAACUGCAUGUUCAUCUAUGUGAAGGAAAACCAGUCUGAGUCAAGAAGAAAGAGUUUCCCUUUAUUUGCUGUGCUAAAAUAAAGCUCUGCUAAGGGAACAUGAAGGCUGCAAAGGCACGCUUUCAGUAGAGGGAGGAGAUUCCAGGAUUAACACGAGUCACCAAUGGACACAUACUGAUGGUGCUGGGACAACCAAGAAGUUGCACUUCAUCUUGGCUAGAAGCAAGCUGGGAGCCUUGCAGUCACAAUCCAAGGCAUUUGUGCCCUGGUGGUCCUGCCUGUUUUCAGGCACCCCAGAUGUGAUCCUAGGCCAGAGAAGUGAGGAGCAUCUCUCAGCAGUCGAAGCAGGCUCUGCAGCUGAUCCACUGCACAUGGAGCUGUGGCCAGUGCAAAUUCAGAGUACAGAGCCUUUCUUGAGUGUGUAUUUUAAAUGUGUGGAGAGGAAAAAGCUACCUAGGAGCAAAUCUGCUGCAUUACUUAUGAACAGGACAAUGGGGCCCCAGUGAGUCACCCUAUUCAUAUAUUUUUGGAACCCAGAGGAAUUGGGUUCUAUUGGGGACUAUUUACAGAUUAUAACAGUUGGUAGUUGAAUGUUUUAUUUUCAUUCCCAGUUGGUACAAUAUGUUCACAGCUGAUGCUAAUGGCUUGCCCAUUUGAUAUCACAUAUGGUCCACUAUUUGGGUCUCCUAAAGCUUUCUUUUGUGGUCAAGCUGCUUUAAAACUUGUGUAUGCUUAGGUUUGUUCUGUCUGCUGGAAAGGUGAAUGUGAAACUGAAACCGGGCAGCGUUGGAUAACUCAGCAGUUCUGUUGAUAAAGAUUAAAAGAAUUUUGAAUGUCUGAAUGUCCC
ensembl:lncRNA